rnacentral:rRNA from 1 species
GACGAACGCUGGCGGCGUGCCUAAUACAUGCAAGUCGAACGCUUCUUUCCUCCCGAGUGCUUGCACUCAAUUGGAAAGAGGAGUGGCGGACGGGUGAGUAACACGUGGGUAACCUACCCAUCAGAGGGGGAUAACACUUGGAAACAGGUGCUAGUACCGCAUAACAGUUUAUGCCGCAUGGCAUAAGAGUGAAAGGCGCUUUCGGGUGUCGUUGAUGGAUGGACCCGCGGUGCAUUAGCUAGUUGGUGAGGUAACGGCUCACCAGGGCCACGAUGCAUAGCCGACCUGAGAGGGUGAUCGGCCACACUGGGACUGAGACACGGCCCAGACUCCUACGGGAGGCAGCAGUAGGGAAUCUUCGGCAAUGGACGAAAGUCUGACCGAGCAACGCCGCGUGAGUGAAGAAGGUUUUCGGAUCGUAAAACUCUGUUGUUAGAGAAGAACAAGGACGUUAGUAACUGAACGUCCCCUGACGGUAUCUAACCAGAAAGCCACGGCUAACUACGUG